UACGGGGGGGGUAAGCGUUGUUCGGAAUUACUGGGCGUAAAGGGCUCGUAGGCGGCCAACUAAGUCGGACGUGAAAUCCCUCAGCUUAACUGGGGAACUGCGUCCGAUACUGGAUGGCUUGGAUUUGGGAGAGGGAUGCGGAAUUCCAGGUGUAGCGGUGAAAUGCGUAGAUAUUGGGAGGAACACCAGUGGCGAAGGCGGCUACCUGGACCGGUUCUGACGCUGAGGCGCGAAAGCGUGGGUAGCAAACAGG
rnacentral:rRNA from 1 species